AACAGGGGACCAAGACUUCUUGAAGGAGUACGGGACCGAGCUACUCGACUCGUUCGUUGAUCCCGUGGUGAUUCGUCAUCCCAAGGGCCAUACCAUACCGAGAUUCGAUGAGGAAGGUUUGAAGAGCAUGCUAAGUUUUCUUGAGAGGAUGCGGAAGGAAGUUAUUGAAGAAAAACAAGAAAUUAUUUUACAAAAUGAAGGUGUUGAAGAGUGUUUAAUAUGAGAGCCAUAGCCUAUUUAAACUAGUUAUUUAGUACAAUUAUUAUUAUCCCUUUAAGGCAAUAACACACAUAUUUCAAAUUUUAAAAUAA